GUCAUAUGUGAUGUUGGUUGGGUGGUGAUAAAACGGGCAUUGGGUGGCCAUUUUUAACGUAUAGUGUUCUCACCAACCGCCUCACCGUUACCUUUCCUGACCUCAUGCUUCUCUCAUGGUGCCUGUCUGCAUACUUCCUUGUUGGGUUUUCUUGCUUCCCGAUGUUUCCCCCAAAGCUGCUAGCCAACUAUUGCUUGGUUGCUGGCGUCGUUAUGAAACGUGUCACUUCACUGAUAUAUUUUAUAUUGCACUGCUUUUACUCCAUACGACACAUCCAGCUUUCACAGGUAUGCAUAUCCUUUAGGUCUCUUCUUCUUCUUCAAACCUUACUCUAUCCUUUCAGUCUUGCGUUUCCUCCCCUUAUUCUUACCGUAAGUAACACAGGUCCAAUCUAAGAAAACAAUUUUAAAGUUUAUUAGGGUUCGGGCUAGCUAAAGAAGACGAUUUGAAGGAUUUCUAAUUAAGAAUAGUCAGUUAUGGUUAUUGAUUUGCUAGCAAAGAAAAAGGCAGGUCAGAUAAGUUGAUUUUUCUUCAUGGGACUUGAGAUUGAAUGGUUUUCAGCCCAAUUAUAUUUCAAAUUGCAAGUAGGUAAAUUCAAUAUACCAUUCGAUGUUGAUGGAGGGCCAGUUACAACUAAGCUCAUAAUUUUGAUUUGGUUUUAUCUGUUAUUUCCCUUACCGGUACCUUCUUUCACCUUCUCUGUAAUUAAACCCUCUCAUUGGGAAGAAUGGAUAAAGAGGUGAACCUUUUUUAUUCAACUAUUUCAAGAGCCUUCAUUUUGAUUUUGAUUUUCGUUUGAAAUUAAGGUUUUUAGCCAUAGAUAAAGACUAGAGGAAGCACACAGUCAACAAUUUUAAUUCGGGUUGCACUUUCAUUUAUAUUCAUUUACCGAUAUGUUUGAUGUAGGGCUUGUGGGAAAAAGUCUUUUAAGGUGGAUUUCACACUGCUUGUGGUUAUAUGCUCAGUUUCAACUUACCCCAGACUAUCUUCCCCUGUUUUACAGCCCCUUUAACCCAAUUUUCAAUCACCAUUCGGAGCAUAUAACAUUAGGUGACACACUUAAACCUCUUAGUUUCCUAAUUUUUUACACCCAUACUGACUGCUUCCAAGUUCUAGCCUUAUAGAUAGAUCUACAAGGAUCAUUACCAACAUGGCCUGGAAGAUUUUGAUAAAUAUUUUUGCAAAUGUAUUUGCUAUGCUCUUAUUAGAUAUGGAUGGACAUGCUAAUAUGUUAGGACCAUUUGUUUUCACCAAGUA